rnacentral:rRNA from 1 species
AACGAUGAGGCCCAGCUUGCUGGGCCGAUUAGUGGCGAACGGGUGAGUAACACGUGAGUAACCUGCCCCCGACUCUGGGAUAAGCCCGGGAAACUGGGUCUAAUACCGGAUAUUCUCCCUCCGCCGCAUGGCGGGGGGUGGAAAGCGGUUUAGCGGUUGGGGAUGGACUCGCGGCCUAUCAGCUUGUUGGCGGGGUAACGGCCCACCAAGGCGACGACGGGUAGCCGGCCUGAGAGGGUGACCGGCCACACUGGGACUGAGACACGGCCCAGACUCCUACGGGAGGCAGCAGUGGGGAAUAUUGCACAAUGGGCGAAAGCCUGAUGCAGCGACGCCGCGUGAGGGAUGACGGCCUUCGGGUUGUAAACCUCUUUCAGUAGGGAAGAAGCGAAAGUGACGGUACCUGCAGAAGAAGCGCCGGCUAACUACGUGCCAGCAGCCGCGGUAAUACGUAGGGCGCAAGCGUUAUCCGGAAUUAUUGGGCGUAAAGAGCUCGUAGGCGGUUUGUCGCGUCUGCCGUGAAAGUCCGGGGCUCAACCCCGGAUCUGCGGUGGGUACGGGCAGACUAGAGUGAUGUAGGGGAGACUGGAAUUCCUGGUGUAGCGGUGAAAUGCGCAGAUAUCAGGAGGAACACCGAUGGCGAAGGCAGGUCUCUGGGCAUUAACUGACGCUGAGGAGCGAAAGCAUGGGGAGCGAACAG